AAAUCAAUUUGCCAUUUUGGAUUCUGAUUUUCUAUUCAAGAAACUGAAAAGUCUUUCUCAGGAAAUGGGAAUCCGAUUUACCAUCCGGAAAGCUGAAAAGUCUUUCCCAAAAAAUAUGAAUUUGAUUCGCCAAACGGAGAGUCGAAAGGUUUUAUGGGUACGAAUCCCAUUAGAUUUGAGUAUUCCAUUAAGUGGUCAUUGGAACUCGUAAAUUGAUUUAA
rnacentral:lncRNA from 1 species